AGUGAACGCUGGCGGUAGGCCUAACACAUGCAAGUCGAACGGCAGCACAGAGGAGCUUGCUCCUUGGGUGGCGAGUGGCGGACGGGUGAGGAAUACAUCGGAAUCUACUCUGUCGUGGGGGAUAACGUAGGGAAACUUACGCUAAUACCGCAUACGACCUACGGGUGAAAGCAGGGGAUCUUCGGACCUUGCGCGAUUGAAUGAGCCGAUGUCGGAUUAGCUAGUUGGCGGGGUAAAGGCCCACCAAGGCGACGAUCCGUAGCUGGUCUGAGAGGAUGAUCAGCAACACUGGAACGGUGACACGGUCCAGACUCCUACGGGAGGCAGCAGUGGGGAAUAUUGGACAAUGGGCGCAAGCCUGAUCCAGCCAUACCGCGUGGGUGAAGAAGGCCUUCGGGUUGUAAAGCCCUUUUGUUGGGAAAGAAAUCCAUCUGGUUAAUACCCGGGUGGGAUGACGGUACCCAAAGAAUAAGCACCGGCUAACUUCGUGCCAGCCGCCGCGGUAA
rnacentral:rRNA from 1 species